ACCGUGUCUGACACUCCAGUGGUCCCUAGAGAUGCAAACAUCCAUUAUGACAAGCAGCAACCACCCGCCACAGUCGAGAUGAAGGAGACGAUGAGAGUCCUCCAUGUCCACAGCGUGAAGAUCAAGGCCUCUGACUUCAGGGGGAGUAGUAUGGAAUGAAGUGUUACUUAUUCUCGUGGUCAGCGAUCUCACAGCAUUCGCUUACUGACACCCCGAUCUACAGAACAGUCUACUCACAUUGCCGACAAUCAGUUGAACACCCACUUCCAUGCUGGGAUUUCAUGCAUCACUCUUUCAUAGAAGAAAGACAUUGAGUGGGAAAAUGAUAAUUAAGAAAAACGUAAAAAGUCAAAGCAUGCAGGAUAGAGUGGGAAAGGGAUAUUCAUUAUCUUUAAAUCGGCAGAAGAGAGGUAGGCACGCGCGCGUAUGUGUGUGCGUGCGUGUGUUUAAAGAAACGCAUUUUAGAGCAGUUUCAGAGAACAUAUUUUUACCUUAGAGCACAUUGCUUACAAUCAUUGAUAUCUUUCUUAUUUGCAAAAGGGACCAUGCAGCUGCAAAUAAUAUAAUUUUUGAUGAGCAGUUAUUCAUAAAGUUCUUUAAAGGUCCCAGUGAUAAUUAUCUUAAGCUAUAGCCCCCACACAUAUCUCUUUCACAAGAUUCACAGUAAAACCUGGAAGAAAGCGGAGAAACCCCAUUGGCAUUUUCGCUUUUCCUAGACUGCAAAGAUUAUCUAGAAACUUUUAUGUUUCAAAAACUCUUGUGUUUUCUUGUUUUCAUGCAUGACUGCGUCGAUUACCAACCAUGACUAGAAACUAUUAUAAAUGUACACUAAUAAUACCACCGGGGUUUUCCAUUCCUGGAAUUGGUGAAAGUACUUUGUAACAGUGAACGAAGACUUUUUCAGAGAUUCUAUGUGGCGCUCUUCCUACAUGCCCUGGUGGCAAGAAGAAUUGAAAGAAAUCGAGUAGCCCAGAUGUCUAAAGAAACGACACGUUUAUUAAAUAUUGCUUAAGCUGCAUCAAGAAAGUCAUGGGUCUGUUCAUCAGUCUGUGGAACAUGAUCAUGCCUAGAGAUGAUGCUCCUUCACAACAGCAAAGAACACGAAGACGUCGAAAGAAGAAAGGAAAGACAGCUUCUCGAAAUAACACGCGGGCUGGUCGGAAAAGACAAAAAGGAAGUCUGGCCAAAAAAACAAACGUUUGUAAACUGCUUCUACCAUUAGCAAUACUUCUACUGCUACUUCCACUAUGACAGCUACCCCAAGUUAUCCUCCUUCUUCUAUUGUUCUUGUACUUCUGCUACUUCAUCUAACCGCAAAUGAUAGAGACGACAACGACGACGACGACAAUGAUGAUCCUAAUUUUAACCAUGAUUUUCACAAUCUUUCUAAGACAACAAC